UACGGGAGGUAGCAGUGGGGAAUAUUGCACAAUGGGCGAAAGCCUGAUGCAGCUAUGCCGCGUGUAUGAAGAAGGCCUUAGGGUUGUAAAGUACUUUCAUCGGGGAGGAAAAAACAAAACUAAUAAUUUUAUUUCUUGACGUUACCCGAAAAAGAAGCACCGGCUAACUCCGUGCCAGCAGCCGCGGUAAUACGGAGGGUGCUAGCGUUAAUCAGAAUUACUGGGCGUAAAGAGCACGUAGGUGGUUUUUUUAAGUCAGAUGUGAAAUCCCUGGGCUUAACCUAGGAACUGCAUUUUGAAACUGAAAUACUAGAGUAUCGUAGAGGGAGGUAGAAAUUCUAGGUGUAGCGGUGAAAUGCGUAGAUAUCUGGAGGAAUACCUGUGGCGAAAGCGGCCUCCUAAACGAAUACUGACACUGAAGGGUGCGAAAAGCGUGGGGAGCAAAACAGGGAUUAGAUACC
rnacentral:rRNA from 1 species